GAUUUUCCCAUAGGUGGUGGAUUUGGUGAAUAGAUUUGACUCAGAGCUAUAGAAACUAAUCUAUUUAUCAAAAUGCCGUGUUUAGAUACGCACUAUUGGAAUUUCACUGGUCUCAUAGGCGCAUUUCUGAAUCUCUCCAUAGCUUAUUUGCUUCUAUGUACAUCUCUUUGUAUACAUCUCCUGUUGAGAUUUCUAGGGUUUCUAGGUUUACCUCUUCCAAAAUUUCACAAUGGACGUUUCGGUGUAUCAAACACUAUGAGGAAAUGCCUC